CACAAUGGUGGAAACUGUGUAGUAUACGGCUCCAGUUGGUACUGCUCCUGUCCAUAUGGCUACUACGGAACAUACUGCCAGUACACACCAUGCACUCCUGAUAGAGAAUGUGUCAAUUACGGAUACUGUAUUAUAAGAGGGUCCAGUUGGGAAUGUUCUUGUCCGUCCGGUUACUACGGAACACACUGUCAGUAUGAUCCGUGUACACGCAGGUGUAAAAAUGGAGGUGUAUGUACAGUCGAUGGCUCCAGAGGGAAAUGUUGUACGAAGACACAAGUAUGGAG